CAAACUACGAUUCAUACUAUGGAGAUGGAACUUUUACCUACGUUUGCCGCUAGGGGCGCUGUUCCAACUGCAUACAAAUUUGAUUUA
rnacentral:pre_miRNA from 1 species